rnacentral:tRNA from 1 species
GCCCCAGUAGCUCAGCUUUACAGAGCGUCGGUCUUGUAAUCCGAAGGUCGGAGGUUAAAAACCUCCUUGGUGCU